UAGGGAAUCUUCGGCAAUGGGGGGAACCCUGACCGAGCAACGCCGCGUGAGUGAAGAAGGUUUUCGGAUCGUAAAGCUCUUUUGUUAAGGAAGAACGAGUGUGAGAAUGGAAAGUUCAUACUGUGACGGUACUUAACCAGAAAGGGACGGCUAACUACGUGCCAGCAGCCGCGGUAAUACGUAGGUCCCGAGCGUUGUCCGGAUUUAUUGGGCGUAAAGCGAGCGCAGGCGGUUAGAUAAGUCUGAAGUUAAAGGCAGUGGCUCAACCAUUGUAGGCUUUGGAAACUGUUUAACUUGAGUGCAGAGGGGGAGAGUGGAAUUCCAUGUGUGGCGGUGAAAUGCGUAGAUAUAUGGAGGAACACCGGUGGCGAAAGCGGCUCUCUGGUCUGUAACUGACGCUGAGGCUCGAAAGCGUAGGGAGCGAACAGG
rnacentral:rRNA from 1 species